UUUGUUUAGUAAUAACUCAUCUAUACUAUAUAAAAAUUGAGGCUAUUUGCUUCUAAAGCCGUCCACCUAAGCUUUUAAACGACGAAUCGGGAAUUACCACGUCAAUAGUUAACAUAUUUAACAUCUUAUU
rnacentral:sRNA from 1 species